UACAGCAAGAUGGUGUCUCACAGUUACCUGCUGGCUGUGAUACUCAUUUAUAUUCAGGGGUCCUGUGGGCAGAGAGUGAUGACUCAGACCCCAGGUUAUAUCUCUAUUUCACCAGGAGGAUCAGUCACCAUCUCAUGUACAGCCAGUACUGGUAUAGGCAGCUACUUAGCCUGGUACCAACAGAAAUCAGGACAAUCUCCAAAGCUUCUUAUCUAUGGUGCAACCAACCGAUAUACAGGAGUCCCAAACAGGUUCAGUGGAGAUGGAUCUGGAACUGCAUUCACACUAACAAUUAGUGGAGUGACAGCAGAAGAUGAGGCAGAGUAUUACUGUCAGCAGGGUUAUAUCCCUAUCACACAGUGA